AAUUAGCCCAGAUGGUAGCGGCAUCCUUUUUAUUUUUUUUCAAUAGUUAGGUUGUUUUAUAAUUUAUUAAAAAAAAAUAAAAAGAUAGAGCGGACAGCUGGAAUGAGC
rnacentral:sRNA from 1 species